rnacentral:lncRNA from 1 species
UUUCCAUAAAUUUGAUAUCAGUUUCCUUUCAAUCUUUCCAAUCACAAAUUCUAAUUUAAACCAAUUUCACCAUCAUUCUCUUCCAUUUGUUUUCUUCAAACUCUAGAAUUUAUUAUUCUUUGUUGAGGCUUGAAGAUCUGGCAUAUGGAAUUCUCUCGGUCGUGUAGAUUUGUGUAUUUCUUCUUCAAUCGGAUCAAAAUUCAGAUCCCAUCUAUCAUUGAUUUCUUUCACAAACACUAAAUCUAUACUAGGCGAUUCUCUCACGCGGUUAUCAAAAAAACCCUAAAUUGGAACCCGUCGGAUCUGAUACAGAGACGGUUAGGAGUGAGCAAAAUAGGGCUUCUUGAACACAUAUUAAUAAUUUUCCAGCUCAAUAUCAUUCUUUUAAGAAGCAACUUCAUUGUGCUCAUAAUGCAGAGACGGUUAGGAGGCAUAUUCAACAUCACUCCUGCCUUUUGAAAUCCUAUUAAAUAAGCCUAAGGCGAGUGCUCUUCAUCUUGUAAGUUGCGAAGAUAUUGUUGUGUAAUUACGGGUUCUUCGUAUCUGUUAUCUCCGUUGAGGUCUUAUUUGUGUACCUGUUGGCAACUCCAUCCAAGUCCAGUACCGCAAAGGGAAGUUGGAGUUCUUCGUGAGCUGAUUCAUUCGAGACAGUCUCUCCAAAAUAACAGACGAAUAAGAUCAAAUAUCCAGCACGUCAUAAACGCAAAAGAGGCCCGAUGAUAAUGGCAGGCUGGGGUGGCAGUAUCUUGAUGUCGUAUAUAUUACAUUUGAUGCGUCAAUUUCUCAUAUUAAUUUGAUUUAUGCAUUGUUGAAUUAUUGGUACCUUGCAGGAAAACUUAUGGAUUUGGAGCCGGUUCGCGAUCUGAAGUCCCAACACGGGAGGCAAAGGUUUGCUGACUAAGAAAGUAACUGACUGAAGCGUCUUUAACCCAAUAAAUUCAAGAGUCCAUGCAUAAAUAAUGGUUUAAAGAUCAUUAAUAAGGUCAUAUUCAUUUUGAGGCAUAUUAGAUACGAUAUCUCACCUUGGACACGUUCUUUUUUCUAUUUUUUUUUUCUCAUUUGCACAUCAAUUAGUGUGUACCGUGAUUAAUAAGUUAUGUUUUUUUACUUUCU